GACAGAGGGGGCAAGCGUUGUUCGGAUUUACUGGGCGUAAAGGGCGCGUAGGCGGCCACCGCAAGUCAAUUGUGAAAUCUCCGGGCUUAACUCGGAAAGGUCAACUGAUACUGCGGGGCUAGAGUGCGGAAGGGGCAACUGGAAUUCUCGGUGUAGCGGUGAAAUGCGUAGAUAUCGAGAGGAACACCUGCGGCGAAGGCGGGUUGCUGGGCCGACACUGACGCUGAUGCGCGAAAGCCAGGGGAGCGAACGGG
rnacentral:rRNA from 1 species